CAAAAUCCUUGUCAAUAUAGGAAUUUACUUGCACGCCCAGUCCAAUUCCUAGUUCCUAAAUUAGAAAAAAUCUGGGCUUGUCAUUAGUAUUCAAAAUCCAUGUCAAUAUAGGAAUUUGCUUGCUCGCCUAUAUAUAUGUCCUUAGAUUCAUUUGUCUUGCUAUGGAAGCGGUUCUUUUUCCUUGCCCUAGAAAUAGAGAAGCCUCACAUCCUCAAACUAUGGCGAACUGGGCAGAGUUGCCCAUCGAUCUGAUUAAUGAGAUUGCAAAGCGUGUUAAAGUGAUUGAAGAUUUCAUUGCUUUUGGUGCCGUUUGUACCUCAUGGCGAACUGCUGCUUCAAAGCAAAAUUUUGAUGUGCUUUCGCCCCAAGUUCCAUUGCUUAUGUUGGGUGCCAAAGAUGACGAUUAUCGAGAAUUUUACUCUCUUUCCAAGAAGAAAGUUUCACGCAUAUUUCUCCCGGAAGCUGGAGGACGAGAGUGUUUACCAUCCGAGGGAUGGCUUUGCACCGUGGCAAAUAAUACGGGGGAGAUGAACUUGUUGCAUCCUUUCUCUCGAAUCAAAAUACAGCUUCCCUCCCGAAAAGAUUUACUGUCUUUUCAUGGUCUCGAUUAUCUCGAAAGAGCACGUGAAGGAAAGCGUUGGCACUGCAUAGACAAAGCUAUCUUAUCUGCAAAUCCAUCUCUUACAUCAGAUUAUACGUUGUUGGUGCACUAUUAUGGAGGAGGUUCUUGUUUGGCUUUUUGGCGACCCGGAGAUCUUAAUUGGACGGAGAUUGAUGUUGUUACUGAUGGUGGAGUCUGCAAUAUGAUUUUUUGUAAGGGCCAAUUUUAUUCCGUGAGUUACUGUGGCGAAGUAUGGGCUUAUGAUAUUGCAGGGCCUAGCAUUACUCAACCAAGUGUACAGACACGCUUGCUUGCUGAGCUGGAAGAUGAUAUGUUUAAACUGCCUUCAGUUCAGUUCUACCUAGUUGAGUUAUCUGGUGCACUAUUACUUGUUACUCGAUAUGCAAUCAAGAGCAUAGGUGAGGAUCCAAAUGGUACAUUUAAGAGCUUUAAAUUUAAGAUCUCUGAACUAGAUAUAACCAAAGGUAAAUUCAAGGAGGAGGAUCUUAAAACCUUGGGAGAUUCAUCAAUAUUUUUGGGCCGCAAUGGAGCAAGUUGCGUUGACUCUUCUAAGUUUUCAGGAAUCAAACCUAAUCACAUAUAUUUUACUGAUGAUUGGUUGGAAUAUGGUAGAAACGAGGAAGGAGGGGCUGGAAGAGAUAUGGGGGCUUACAAUAUAGAAGAUGGAACAAUUGAAUCAUUUUAUCCUAGAUUGUCAGUAAGUCUUAUUUGCCCACCAACUUGGGUUAUGCCUUCACUAAUAACGUGAUUGCAACUUAUUGUUUGUUUUGAAUUGUUAUUUUUAUUAUAUUAUCAGUUUAAAGCUAAGUUAAUCUAUUUAUUCUCCUUCAUUGUAAUCUUGGCUGGUGGAUUGUUGUUGUGUUUAAUAGAUGAUCGAGGCUUAUGAUAUUUAGUUUGCAAAGUAACAAUAAAAAAGAAAUAUUUAGUUUGUAAAUUUUAACUCUCUCAUUUGAUUCCCCCUACAUUUAUCUCCUUCGAACAUGUCAUUUUAGUUGUCCGUGUCUUAUCUAAAGGCUGGAGGCUGAAGCAGGUUUGAUCCCAGGUUCAAUAGUAAACAAGUUAGUAAAUUUCAGCUAUUGUGGACACACAUAUAUCCCACUUAAGAAGGACCAUUGUCUACCAAUAUACCUGGAAAAUAUUUUGCUUGAUAAUUUCAUAUGCUGAUGUUAUGGUGCUCGAGAUCAGAAGACGUUAUACUUGCAUUUGUUACAUUGGCAAAGCUGAUCAAUAAGAAUUACGUAUAUGUUAAUAUUUGCUUUUUAUCAGUUUAGCCUUUUGUUGCAUUAUCGCAUUUAUUUGAUUGACUUGGUUGCUUUGAUUCUUUUAUAUUGAGGUACAACCAACUGAAACUUUUUGAUAACUAAUCUUUUUAACAACACCAAGGAGGAAUUGUCUAGCGAUGUUAUUGGCUGGUUUUUGUACCUCAAUUACACACUGGAUCAAUGAACUCCAGUACAGAAUUUAUAUCAUUUGCAAGUAUAACUUACGGGAAAAUCGACUCAUGUUCAACGAACCCUUUAAAUUUACUAGUAUAUUAUAUAAUUUUGGUCUCAAGUAAGGUGAUGUAGCACAUCUAUAAACUAAGAAUCCUAUUUAUCUUUUUUCUUCUUUUUUGUUAUUUUUUCUCUCAUUAUUUCAUUUGAAAAGCCUAAAAGUCAUACUUUACAACUUCUAGAAUUUGAUGGUUGCCGACGAUUGGGAAGCUUCACCGGAAUAAUCGACGGCGACGAACGGGCGAUGAUACGAAUCUAGGUUGGUAAGUUUUACUUUGUAUAUUUGUUUUAUCUCUUCUUUCCAAGGGAUAUAACCCACCCAUGUAAAGAGUGGAGGAUUAUUGAUGCGAUUUUUAGAAAAUGCAGAAAAAGUUGGUCUGUGUUAUUUUUACGGGUAUUUUUGUUUAAAUUUUAUUUUCGUGUUAAAAAUAGUUAAUUUGCAACACUUUUGAACUUGGGGCUAUUGUUUCAAUACAUACUCUAAAAAUGGCUAAUCGUGAACUUUAUCCUACUAGUUGUACGAGUCCAAAUCCAACUAGUUCCGAAUUUUUUGGUCUUGUCAUAAGCAAAAUCCUUGUCAAUAUAGGAAUUUACUUUCAUGCCGAGUCCAAUUCCUAGUUCCUAAAUGAGAAAAAAUUUGGGCUUGUCAUUGAUAUUCAAAAUCCAUGUCAAUAUAGGAACUUACUUGCACGCCUAUAUAUAUGUCCUUAGGUUCUUUUUGUCUUGCUAUGGAAGUGGUUCUUUUUCCUUUCCCUAGAAAUAGAGAAGCCUCACAUCCUCAAACUAUGGCGAACUGGGCAGAGUUGCCCAUCGAUCUGAUUACUGAGAUUGCAAAGCGUGUUAAAGUGAUUGAAGAUUUCAUUGCUUUUGGUGCCGUUUGUACCUCAUGGCGAACUGCUGCUUCAAAGCAAAAUUUUGAUGUGCUUUCGCCCCAAGUUCCAUUGCUUAUGUUGGGUGCCAAAGAUGACGAUUAUCGAGAAUUUUACUCUCUUUCCAAGAAGAAAGUUUCAAGAAUAUUUCUCCCGGAAGCUAGAG
rnacentral:lncRNA from 1 species